rnacentral:rRNA from 1 species
UACGAAGGGGGCUAGCGUUGUUCGGAAUUACUGGGCGUAAAGGGCGCGUAGGCGGCUAAGUAAGUUAGGUGUGAAAUCCCAGGGCUCAACCCUGGAACUGCACUUAAUACUGUUUAGCUAGAAUACAAGAGAGGGCAGUGGAAUUCCUAGUGUAGAGGUGAAAUUCGUAGAUAUUAGGAAGAACAUCGGAGGCGAAGGCGACUGUCUGGCUUGAUAUUGACGCUGAGGCGCGAAAGCGUGGGUAGCAAACAGG